CCCUUAGAUGUCCUGGGCCGCACGCGCGCUACACUGAAGGAAUCAGCACGUCUUUCUCCUUGUCCGAAAGGACUGGGUAACCCGCUGAACCUCCUUCGUGCUAGGGAUUGGGGCUUGUAAUUCUUCCCCAUGAACGAGGAAUUCCCAGUAAGCGCGAGUCAUAAGCUCGCGUUGAUUACGUCCCUGCCCUUUGUACACACCGCCCGUCGCUACUACCGAUUGGAUGGUUUAGUGAGAUCCUCGGAUUGGUCCCGGAGCGGCCUCUGGUCGUGCCGGAGUGCCGAAAAGAAUGUCGAACUUGAUCAUCUAGAGGAAGUAAAAGUCGUAACA
rnacentral:rRNA from 1 species